AAUGACUGUUCUUUUAUCUUUUAAGUAAUUUGCAAUUACAUUUGUAGUUUAUUGUUGAAAUGAGCUAUGAUCUUUUCACCAUGGACGAACAGGUGGCUCCUAGCUGAAGUAAAGGUGAAAUGUACCUGUGUGUAAACACACCUGAGAUACUUCUUCCUUAAAGAGCAAUCAUAUGUAUGGGUCAGAAGCAAACUAAAGAUCAAACUUUAUUGAACAAGUAGCUAAGCAAAGAGUUGAUCUAAGUUUUUCUUCCUAAUCCUUUUAUAUAUAUAUAUAUAUAUAUAUAUAUAUAUAAAAUGAUUACUUUUAUUCAUCAGUGCUUCAUUAUCAGAAUCCUCAAAAUGUUUUCAGCCUGGUGAAUGUUUUCAGUAACAUGCAAUGUACAAACUGUUAGAAUUAACAUCUGUUCAAUUGAAGUGAGCCCAAGUGUGGAAUUUGAGCCCAAAUCUGGGGUUUUGUGACCGCUGGCUUGCUAAAACAUCCUCUCCAUCGGCCACCGCAACACGUGGCAGAAUUGUUCAGCUUGGGGCUUCCCACAGACCAAAUGCAUUUCUAGUGUAACGUGACUGGCUCCAACACUUCACUCCAGAAAUAACAUCGUUGAACUGUGAUCUCAUCUGCUUAUUUUGAUAAUUCACAUUAUCUUACUGUAAUGGUUUCAUAUCUAAAAGAAUUUGCAUUUUGCUCUCCUAAGGAAAAAGGUAAGAUUAAAUGUCAACUAAGCAUGAUGUGAACGAGCAGUACCUGGAAGGUGACUUUGGAAACGAAAAAAAUUAUUGGACUUAAGUCACUUUUUUUUCCAUGAUGGAGACUGAGCAGAACAGCAAUAUUUUCACCACGUCCUUGCUGCAAGUUUUGAGUAAAAAUGGGAGGAAAACCAAAAAUUGAUGCUCUGAGGGGAAUUCUGACGGCUCUCCAAACCUCUGCCUUCUAUCAGGUUUCGAAACGGACAUUUUGGUGGAGAAAUGGCGAGGAUUUAACACCAUUUCCUUGCCAGGCGCUGAGGAAAUUCCCGGCGGGGCCCGACAGCCGCUGUGCCCGGGGCCGCUCCCGCCGUGACUCAGCGCCCGCCCUGAGGCGCGGCGCCGAGGGCCGGGGUCUCGCUGCGCGGGCUCUGCCCCCGGGCGUCGCCUCAGAGCCGAGCGGGGCGCGGCCGCUCCCCACCCCCCUCCACACCCCGGUUUCGUCCCGGAGCGGUGCCGCUGCCUCCCUCCGCCCGCUACCGGGCGGCGCCUCAGGCCGGGGGGGACCGCCAGGCGAGGCGAGGCGAGGCGGGAGGGAGGCUGGGCGCCGGGCCUCCCCCGGGAGCGGCGCCUCGGCCCGGCCCGGCCCCGGCCGAGCCCGCCCCUCUCCCAGUCUCCUCCGCGGCUCCCCCUCCCCGAGCCGGGCGGGGCCGCAGCUCGCAGCGCCGCCGCUCCUUGUGCCGCCUCUCCCCGCUGACCAAGGGCACCGCCGGGACCCUCUCCGGCCGCCCCCCCCCGUCCCCGCCGCCGCCUCAGCCGCAGCCGGCGCUGCCCGCGGAGCCGCCAUGAGCUGGGGCACGGAGCUGUGGUGUGAAAGAUUUUCUGUUUGUGUUCUUGGAUGA
rnacentral:lncRNA from 1 species